rnacentral:precursor_RNA from 14 species
ACUAUUUCAACUUUUGCCCGACUUCGGAUUCACGUGGUCAUCCAGGCGGUGCACGUUAAAAGAUAUAAAUGCCCUGCCUGGGUCACCAUGUGAAUAGGGAAUACGGUCAGCUUAACUUGUUAAU